rnacentral:lncRNA from 1 species
GGGCACCGCACUCGGAGCGGCUUGGCCAGCCAGCCGGCCCCGCCGGCCCCGGGCAUUGAGGGGCUUAGCACCUGGGCCAGCAGCUGCGGAGGGUGCGCCGGGUCCCCCAGCAGUGCCGGCCCACCAGCGCUGCGCUCGAUUUCUUGCUUGGCCUUACCUGCCUCUCCGCGGGGCAGGGCUCGGGACCUGCAGCCACCCAUGCCUGCGCCUCCCCCCACCUGGGCUCCUGCGCGGCGGGAGCCUCCCCAACGAGCGCCGCCCCCUGCUCCACCGCGCCCAGUCCCAUCGACCGCCCAAGGGCUGAGGAGUACGGGCGCACUACGCGGGACUGGCGGGCAGCUCCACCUGCGGUCCAGGUCUGCAGCUUCACUCCUGAAACCAGCAAGACCACGAACCCACCAGAAGGAAAAAACAAGCUGCGAGACCAGGAAGAAACUCCGAACACAUCCGAACAUCAGAAGGAACAAACUCUGCACACGCUGCCUUUAAGAACUGUAACACCCACCGGGAGGGUCCGUGGCUUUGUUCUUGAAGUCAGUGAGACCAAGAACCCACCAAGUCCGGACAUAAUCCUUUUACAAAUUAAAUCAAAGCACUUUAAUUCCUGCAAUAGCUCUACUUUUUAUGCUACGGUCCUUAUAGUGGCCUGCAAGGCCUUACAUGAUGUGGUAUUCAUCACCUUUCUAACCGCAGCUCCUCUUUUCAAACUCUCAUUCUGCAACAGUUGCACUGGCUCCCUUGCUGACUAUCUUAUUUAAGACAUUCAUGUUAACAUGCCCACAAAUAUCAACGUGGCUAACUUCUACACUGUAGUUCAGUCUUUGCUCAGAUGUCAUUUUCUCAAUAAGGCCUACCCUGACAACCUUACAUAAAAUUUCACCCCUUCCUCCCUUCCCUGACUCCUGAUUCCUAUUACUCCGAACUAAUCUUUUUUGAACCAUAGCACUUAAAAUCUUAUAACUAAUUCUGUAGUUUACCAAUUUUAUUAGAUCUUUUGUCUUCUCCUACUUGAAUAAGCUUCUCGAAAGCAAACUAUUUGUCUUUUCUUUCAUCAAUAUAUCCCCACAUCGAUGGGUCUAGUCUCUGAAAUAAUAAGUGCUCAAUAAAUACUUGUUGAAUUAAUUUCACAAUAAGUAACUGGAAAAGACAUGACAGUUUUAACAUACAUAUGUUCUUAUAUUUAAGUGCUAGAAAAAAGUAUAACUUUUCAUAAAAAUCAAUAAAUUCGAUUAACAAAAAUAUAUAUUUCCCCAAUCAUACAAAGACUUAAAACUGUCUUCUAAAUAACAAAAAAUAAAUUCAAUUUUAAAUAAUAAUUAAAAUUAGCAAAAUAAUUAUUAAAUGUAGGACAAAAAAACAAAACCUCUAACUUUUAAAUGAUAAUUACCAGAUAAUUCUUAUAAGUUAUCCUAACAAUAAUACCAAAAGGAAGAUACUGC